AGUGAACGCUGGCGGUAGGCCUAACACAUGCAAGUCGAACGGCAGCACAGUAAGAGCUUGCUCUUACGGGUGGCGAGUGGCGGACGGGUGGGGAAUACAUCGGAAUCUACUUUUUCGUGGGGGAUAACGUAGGGAAACUUACGCUAAUACCGCAUACGACCUACGGGUGAAAGCAGGGGAUCUUCGGACCUUGCGCGAUUGAAUGAGCCGAUGUCGGAUUAGCUAGUUGGCGGGGUAAAGGCCCACCAAGGCGACGAUCCGUAGCUGGUCUGAGAGGAUGAUCAGCCACACUGGAACUGAGACACGGUCCAGAGUCCUACGGGAGGCAGCAGUGGGGAAUAUUGGACAAUGGGCGCAAGCCUGAUCCAGCCAUACCGCGUGGGUGAAGAAGGCCUUCGGGUUGUAAAGCCCUUUUGUUGGGGAAGAAAAGCAGCAGGUUAAUACCCCGCUGUUCUGACGGUACCCAAAGAAUAAGCACCGGCUAACUUCGUG
rnacentral:rRNA from 1 species